GUUACGGGGUGGGGGGAAGGGUCCGCUAGGGGCGUGCGGGACCCGUUGCUCUGCCUUUCGUUGUGCUCGCGCCGCCGCACGCGUCUUCGGAGGGCGGGGGGCGCGCGAGGCGGCGUGUGGUGAUCUGUGGACUUGACCUCCCAUCCAGUCUGAAGCUUCAUCACACCAGCCUGCGACUGGCCGUCUUGCUGCUGUGUCUCCUCCUCCUCCCUGCUGCCUUCCCAUUGCCUCCAUCUAGUCCAUGUGUCAACACCAAGAUAUGGACAAUGCAAGUAGCACAUCCAUUGUUACCAGUUAGAUUUUUUUCAGCUUUUCUCAAUCCCUUGCCCAGCAUCUCUUUGAAAAAGUACACUGCUGCUUGCCGUGAGCUACAGCAGAUUUUAAGAAUCAUUACCUACAGGUGAACCUCAUAAUUUUACCAAGAAAUUGAAGCUAUUGUUCAAUAAUGAAAGGAAUAAUUACAGUGGGUUGAUACAGCUUGAAAUUUUACCUAUUAUGGUUUUACCUUCAGAGAUGAGUAGGAGUUAUAUUUAGUGGUGUGACACUCAUGCCCUCCAUAAAGGCGUUCCUGGAAUGGUAGUGGGUUUCGUUCCUUACCUGUGGGGCUCAAGUUGAUGUACUCAGGAAGUACACAGCCGCAAACACUGUCAAGUCAAACCACAUUCAUCUAUCUCUCCUAUCCAGUGGCUGAUUAUGAUUCAUCUUCAUAGUAAUCAGACCAUCUCACCGAAGUAUCCAGUAUCGAAGUGAUAUGGCAAUUCUGCAAGGAGGUGUCAUCAUUUAUGUGAACUCUACACCAGAACUGAAACAUCUACUAGGACACAUAUGAGGUGCUCACAUACCAGUGUGACAUACAAAUGUCAUAAAGCAGAAUUAUGGGUACAGGUAUUUGAAAAUGCAACUAACUGUUUCUGUUCAAUUUAUUACAAACUUGCACCACCUGAAGAAGAAAGACUGGGAGAGAAAAAAAAAGGCCUAGGACAGAAUGGCAGAUACCUUUCUUAGGUAUUUCAUAUUAUUCAUAUGAUAGUGCACAACGCUCUUAUCAAAGUCUAUAACUACAGCAAAGCAGAUCAUCCUUUUCAUCUGGAGAAGAGAUCUAAUGAAGACGUCAACAUAGACUGGAUGCAUUUCUUUUUCCAUUGGUGAACCCAGUUAGAUCUAAUAUUGUUACUUGUUAUAGUCACAAAAUCCAUGCCUAAAUUAGGUUAGCAUUAGCAUGUACUUUAUUUCAUCAAUAGUAGUUAAAUGUCUUUGUUUUCAAGAGGCUGAAUAAAGACAUCCAGCUAAAACUACUUUGUUGCUUAGGGGUUUUUUUCUUACCAGCCCUUUUUUUCAGGCUCUCAAGUUCUUGUGCCUAAUCUUUUGCUGCUACUGUACAAUGACCCACAAUCUUAUAUCUGUGAGGUAUGUUCUUUUGAGGAAAAUGGGGGAAAAAACAUUAUGUACCAUACCCUAAGAUUUCUGUCACAGAGACUAGUGAAAAAACACACAAAAAAAAAACCCGUUUUACACAUUUCAAGGAAGGAAAGGAAUCUGGGUCUGAGGAAGUUGGGUUACAAAAAACAAACUCUGGAAGACACAAGCAUUUCUAAUCUGGAUUAAUACUAUUUCUUCACAUGGUUUUUUACUGGCAGUAAGAUCAAGGGUUUUUUUCUGCUAUUAUUCUGUUUUCUGUUUGUUUCUCUCUUGUAAAUCUUGCACGUAAAUAGUUAUCCAUUGUAGCACAUAUUAAUUCCAUUGUCAUUGUACUAUUUUUGUUUUGGCUUUCCCCAAGCCGCUUUUACUGAACUAGUGCUUCCUCACACAGUGAGGAGGAAGAGAGCAUUGCUUCCUUCUACCAUUUUUAUCCAGGCUUCUGAUGUAUGCUGCCCUGUUAUAUAUAUAAGGUGUUAUCAUCGUACAAUAUAUUUUACUUUUGGGCCAUAGCUAUGCAUUUCACAAAUUUUCAGCUCUCAGAAUCUCAUUUUCACAUAGACCUUUAAUUCUCACGCUUUGCUGGUUUUAGGUACAUUUAUAGUACACAAAUUCUAGGUCUACAGAUGCUGUUUGGGGCUAUCUUAACUGUGAACCAGAAAUGCUCCUCAGUGUACAUGUAAAUCCUGGACCCUUGAUGAGGCAGGCUGGGAAAAUCCCACAUCAAAUUUCUUCCCAGUGAAAACUAGGUCACAGAAAGGAUAGACAGAGUCUGUACAAUGAUAAGGUAUGUGCCCAGACCCAGGAAUCAGGAGUACUUUUGGAUGCCAAAGAUUAGGUGUAAUCUGUAAUUGUCCAUACCUCCUAAUAGUCUCCCUGCAAGUAAUGUCCAAAUGGCUCCUUCACUUCCAUUCACUUGGUUUCCAUUCCAUUCAAAAAGUCUGGUAUCAGGACAGGUUGUGUCGUUGGUGUCGUGUGGUUAGCAUCCUACUGGCACAACCUCGUAGAUGGUUCUGCAAAGCUGAUUGUCACUUGAAGGUUUGUGCAGUUUUGCACAUUGGCCUGUGUAUCUGGUCAUGCUGCCCUCCUCCAGUUCAGUAUUGUGGCCCCACCUUCCCGGAAUCAGUCAUUUCAGACUUAAACCACUCAAACCGAAAUUGCUCUCACUGUCACAGGAAUUACAAAACUGCUUGGCACUUACACAGACUUGAACAACAUUUCUUUUCCCUACCAUUCCAUUUUCUGAAUGAAGUACAGCUCCUAAUAGGCAAGCAUCACCAGAAUAUCAGUACAGAGCAAUACCUUCACUCCUUAUUUCUAGACAAACAUCCUUCUUUGUUUUGGCCUGAUCACUAUUGAUAUUCAAAAUGCAUCUGAAAUUACUGGUUUGGUUUUGUUUCCUCUGCUAACUUAAUUUUCUUCAUUUCUGUAUGCAGGAGUAACGCUUCUAAGGCCACAGUAACCACAGUAGCCCCUAGGAGAAGCCCAGUAAGCAUCAGCAGUUGAAAACAGCAGCAAAAUUAGACUUCAAAGUGAGCAGUAUCUGCCUGUUGUGCCAUUUAACAUAGGCAGCAUCAUGUCAUUCUCCUCCUGGCAUUUCAUUUCUUUGUUUUUUAUUAACUGGAACAAGAUACCAUGUAAAUUUGUCCUUAUGUUCUUUGUAUUUAUCCCUUUCGUAAUUUUCACUGAAAGGAGUGAUAUUUAAUUUAGAGCUUCGUAACUGAAACUCUUUCUUGCCUAAAUCUUUUCACGUCCUGCUUAAAGUAUCUAUCUCUGAUCUUCCAGUUACUCUGGCUAUUACUUUAUUAGCCUCUAUUAAAGCUAAUAAAGUAAUUGUCUCAUGUUUUGUCACUAGUUUUUCCUAUUUAUCCUUUUUCAGUACUCCUUUUCCUUUAUUUAGCUUGAUAUUAUCUAAAAUAUGUACACAUAACACCACAGUGGGUUAACACAAAAGAAAGUUAUGACAGGAACAUGCCUAUGCACUGGUUACCAGAAAUUUCACUAUUUCUGUGUUUGCCCGUUAUAUACUUACUACAGACAAACCAAUGGCAGUGAUUAUAAGUCUGGUGGUUGGUUGUGAGUACUGGUCAGCAUUCAUCAAUACCAUAUAUGCACUUCUGCUGCAUUUCCUUUUGCCCCUUAGGAAGUCUGACAGUCGGCAGAGUUAUCUUUUGCUGCGUGGGGCAUUCGUCCCCACAUGCUUCCGAAUACAUGGCAGUAGCAUCUCCUAACAGGAAGGUCUAACUCUAUCUUCUCCUGUGCGUAAACUAAACUGUUUGUUUGGUUUCAGGGCUGUGCAUAGGUAUUUGUCCAUGGCUCCUGGGCAUUCUUUUCAUAAGCAUGCUGAAAGCCCAGUCAACGCAUUAUCUCUUCAGAAGUUCAGUGCCCAAAACCUUGUAAUGGUUUCCACUUAGCUGUUCAACAUUUGUUUUAAAGCAACAGUUUACUUGUAGUGUUCAAAGAGCUGCUAUCUUGAAUCUUUUUGGUGUUCUGGUGCUAGUUGUACACUCUCUUAAAUGUUUGCUUUCAUUUCCUCAAUAUCUCACCAGAGCAGCUCAUAUGCCUCCCAAACACUGCAGUGGUUCUUCCUUGUGUUAGCUUCUUCUCUGCUGUAUUACAAUUCUGGUGUGCCUUGCCAUUUUCUUAACAUAGCUUUAGUUCAUCACACAGCUUCUGUCUAUCUGCCUGCUUCUCUAGCUCUUACAUACACACUGUAUCUUCAUCUCAAUGCUUUUCCCUGCAGAGCUUGAGUUAUGGAAUAUUUGUCUCUCAUAUAUAAAAUUUCCCCCACCUCUCUGCUGAGGUGGCUUGUUUUCUCCUUCAUAGACCCUGGGGAUCUUGUUAAACCUUCCACACGAGUAGUUCCAUCCCACUGUGACCAGGCUGCUUGAAGUCCUGCUAGCCUAAUUUGGAGCCUGUAGCUACACCAUGCUACAGCCACAUCUGACUGAUUAAAACUCCAAGUCUGCAACAAAACUGUCUAGAGCCUUGCUUGUCUCAGUGCAAAGCUGCAACAAAGGAUCAAGGAUUAUCCUGUCUGGGUACCUAACAUAUCAAUAAACUAAUCUUUAGGUUUAAUUUGUUUGUUUUCCUUCCAGCACAAAAUACUAAAUGCAAAUCAGAAAACAAAGGCAGUGGGUGUAGAAUUUCACUUAUCCCAUGGUGGACAGAUGAGAAGAGUGUGCAGGGGGGAGGAGGAGGUGUGGAUCAUAGGCUGAAAAAAGGAACUGGGACAGUGGAACAGGGAGAAUGACAUGGUGAAGCAGAAGCACGUUUCCAUAUUGAACUUUGAAUGCUUAAAGUUCCUUACACGUAAAGCCUGGGAGAUUAGGCACACCACUUUGCUGGGCUCACUCUGUGCAGUGCAAGGAGACCUGAAAUUAGUUGCAGAAAGUCUAUGGAGAAUCCCGUCUUUAUCCCAAUAUUAAUAGAGUGCCAUCUUUUAUUCUUCUCCUUUAUUCCCCUGUACACGUCCCUGUUUCUCCUACCUGUCAAAUUUCACCCAUCUAUAAUCUGUGGUCCCAGACUUUUCCUGAAGCUAUCAUAAUGCACUCUUCUCAAGCUUGCAGGUGAAUAAAUGCCAUGCCAGCUUCUGGAAUGGGCAGACUGUUCCCUGCUUGUUCGGUUUGGUUUGCUUUGCUGGAGUGUGGUAUUGUGAGUGUUUAAGUCCAUAGUUGCAUCUUUUUGCAACCUCAAUUCUGACAGCAGAACUGAUGUCCUUUUGCUUAGGAGGAGAACAUGGGCUACAGGGUAUAUGUUGUUUUUCAGACACAGAUUUUAUUAAUGUCACUGCAUUAACAUGAAAACAGGAAGAAACGUAAUUGCAACAACAAAAAAAUUUUGAAUAAAACACAGCAGUAGAAAUAUCACAGUUACAGCAGGACUUCUGUCACACUGAGCUAAUUUAUGCUUUAAUAUUAAAAAGGUGCUUUCACAUUAGUGCAGUAAAAGUGUGCAAAAGAAGGGAAGAAUAUUAUUUCCAAGCAAGAAAGUUUACUGUGAGGAUAAUUUUUGGUCUGUUCUUUAGCCUGUCUCUGGCUAUUAACCUAACAAGGUAGUGGCUAGAUUAUAAUAGCUGAUAGGGUAAAAGCUAACAACUAACAGAAGCAGUGCCUUGAGGGGGAAGAGUAUUUGCACCACCUAGAUUAAGGCAUCUGAUACCUAAACUAAGAGGCUGACAUUUCCAGGCUCCUUCUAUAAUCAGGCAGGUAAUCUUCCCCAGAGGCCAUUUAAAUUGUAUGUCUGCUUCUGACUAGGGCAUCUCUUUUUCUCUACUGACCACUGAGGGACCAUGAAGAGAUUUGCUGUCAAUUUAAGCAUGAGUCACGUGCCUAAUGUUAAGUAGUGUGGCAUCCUUUCUUGUCUCCUUACUUUGCUUGGAGGCUACUUGAACCUGCGCCUGGCCUCCAGAUUUCCAUGAGCAAGUCUUUAAUAUGCAUGGGCAGUGCCCUUUGAAGUAAAGGGAAAAAAAAAGCAGGACAGUUCACUUGCAUAAGGAGUGCUCAACUGCACUUCCUUACAGUUUGAAACAAGAAGUUCUGCACUAUGCCCCUGCCUCCUCUUCUUUGCUAACAUCAUGUCCCUAGAAUACCACUUUCUUUUACAGGGGAAACUCCUAAUUAUACAUAAAUGUAUGGCCACAGGACACCAGUAGACUAAAGGUCUGAAGUCUUCAAUUAACCUGCAGUUCUAACUGAGGCACCAGUUGGCUAUGGGCACUUUUCUCCUGGGAGGGCAAAGUGGGUAUGUCUCCUCUGCAGUCGGCUGCUUUUGGAGUUCCCAGGCUACUGUCUAACUAGAAGUGUAUCCCAAACAUCAGACUUGCUGUGUAUGUGAAGAGCAUGUUUUUCUCAUGCAGGAGCCUUGCCUGACACACUUAUGGUGUCUGCCAUGUAAAGUCUUCCUGUACACACAUGAUUUACCUGUCCGGACCUAGGGAUGCUUCCACUCAGUACUGUGCUCAUGGUCUCCAAAAUCCUUCAGAGGGUCCUGAUAUUUUUUCAUACAGAAUCCUGCAUACCAAGUACCAAGAAAGAAACAUCUUCUGCAGAAGCUGUAGCCCUUGACAAGAAGUUUGGUUUUGGCUCUAAAAUUAUCUAGGCAUGAACCUUCUGAAUAGGUGUGUUAGCAAAGGAAUCUCCAACUUUACCUCUGUUCUUGUGCUACCAGUCCUGGGAAAGAUCACAGAAGAAGUCAUCCUUGGAAAACCUAUCUGCUAGUUGCAUAAUCUGUGAGGGAGGUACCGCUUGGUUGUAUCAAAGAGAAGAAUCAAAAAAGAAUGAAAAAUUUCUGCAGAAAAACUGUCUUACUUCAGCUGAGGCUUUCUACAAGCUGUCACAACAUUACCACUGACAGAACUGAAGCAAGGAAACCAAACCAUGAUGUACUACUAUUACUCCAUCAACUGCUGAAUAUAAGAGAGAAUUAGCUUUUUCUGACAAUAAUACUGUUGCCUUAAAUUUUGAAUGUUAUAUGGAUACUGAAGUCAAGAUGUUGGGAUACACCCAGGGCACUGACAUAAUUUUCCUAAUUUCUUGAAGAAGUCUGUUUUCUCUUCCUGUGGAUGGGAGAGCUAGAGACAGUUCACUGUUGGCAAAAAUAUUGGUAAAAUUGCCAAGCAGAUUACCUAAAUAGAAAUGACUGGGCCUCAGCUGUAUGCCACUAAGACCAUAGCAAAGAUUAAGCAUUGUCCCUGCAGUUCAUCUCAUACUCUAGGCCUCCCAUGUGGAAGGAGAAAAGCUGACUUCAGUCCCUGUGUCAAAGCAUGUUUAAGAUUUUCAGGCAAAGCAGGACAGCACAAGGAGGGAAGGUGCAUACCGGUGGAGUUCUUUCCUAUUCCACUGGUGUGCUUCAGCCUGCCUUUUUAUGGUGAAAUUGGACAAAGUAGAUGUUUUGUGUUGAAAAAGGAGUUCAAUAAGUGUAUUACUGAGUCCUGUGCAGUUAGAUUCCUCUUGAGCGUCCUCAUCCACGGUAGCCCUCAGCAGACAUUUUGCCGACCGUCCUCAAGCUUACAGGGAUGGGUGUGUCGCACCUUUGGUUGAGCACAAGGAGGAGCACACAGGAGGACUUUGCAAGGUCUGUUAGUAGGUAAUUCAUUCCAGACUCCUUCAAACUGAAUGUUAUAGGCUGUAGGAAUCUCUCUCCCACCCUUAGCUGGUAAUAGGCUAGCUAGUCUAAGGGCUCCCUCUAUAGCCAAAAGAUAGGGGUAGGUAUUUGCAGACGGUAACAGACUGUCUUAAGCUACUCCACCUUAGUCUAGAAUGAAUCACCAUAUGGAGGGGCUAUCUUUAGUGAUAGAAAGAGGCUAGACAAUGAGUUCAGACUAGACAGCUAACCUGUACAUUAAUAGAAAUGAGUUGUAGCCCAAUCACAUGUUUCAGAUAACCUGAAUGAAAUCUUUGGGGCUUUUGGUGAUGAGAAACCAUUCUUUAUUUUAGGAAAAGAUCAAGCCAAAUAUUUUCAAUUUGUUGUUCUUUGGGGCUGGGGUCGGUUUUUAGCAGGUAAGCCUGAUAAUGCUGUCUACAUCCUUUACUGAAGAGGAAGAGACCUAUGCUGUAGAUCUAAAGACCAGUCCUGCUGAUGAGCCAUCCAGAAGCAGGAACAGAUUUAGUGGUGCACUGUGAAGACUGUACCCUGCUCAUGCCCAUGAGAACGGUAUGUGCUUCUCAUCAGGUCACAGAAGUAAGGCUGCAAAGGCCAUCCUGGUUUUCCCCUAUCUUCUCAUACCCAUGCAGGUGUUCUAAAGGGGCACUGUGUUUUGGAAGAGGUAGGAAGAUACAUGAAAGCAACAUACAGUUUCUAUUGAUGGCGUAUGAAAGUUGUAUUAUCAGCUGCCCAGGUGUCAUAGUACUUCCUCACAGCUUUAGGGCAUUUCACACAGCCUUGGAGAAGUAAGUACUUGACAACUGAGAUGUAAGUAAAUUGAGAGUUCAACAUAUUCUUAAGAUACUCUUGAGUUGCUCACAGGAAGAGCUACACAAGGAAAUAUCAAUGUAAUCUGUCCUUCAGUUCAGUUUGCAGGAUCCAUCGUCCCAGCUGAGGGAUGGGUUAUUUGGGGUUCUUUUUACUACAUUUCACUAGCGUGCAGGACCAGCCCCUAUUUAACGUACACUACCUGUACCUUUCUUGGACUGCAGAAUUUUGCUUUUCUCUCAUGAUUGUGUCUCUAGUUCUAUUAGGGUAGUAUCUGAUUGCUUCACAGAUAUUACAGUAUUUGUCUUCUGACCACGUUUAUGAGAUGAAUCAAUACAAUUAUUUCUGUUUUGCAAUGAGGAAUCUGAAGUGCCAAGAUUAUGAAUAAACAGUCAAGCAUCUAUUGAUUUGGGGAACCUGGUUUGAGAACUGUUUUUCUCCAAAGCAAAGUAUUAUGCUGGGGUGUGGUUCCCAUCUGUUGUAGCUGCUGGUUCUGGGUCUUCACAUUGGGCCCUGGAACAUGAGGAACACAACCUCAGAGGCCAUCUAUGAAAAUCUAAGCUUAAGUGGAAAGGGAAGGUCCUUAAUUUAUGGGCUCGAAGUAGACAAGGGUAGGUAGGAUAAAUUCAGGCCUAAGUGCCUAAAUCCCUUGGCGGAACUUGUGUCUGCCAUGUGACAAGGUUGCAGAUUCCAGUAGUAUUUGUGGCAUAGGACUUGGCAUCUCUGAAAUGUAAGUCUUCCCUGAUUUUGCUUCCCAGGUGUCUGUGGGACUGCUCAGUGAAACUGAAUUCAAAAGAGACAACCAGCCCCAGAUAGUCUUCAGUCUUCUCAGAGACUGGCCUCACACUCCCAUGCAUCUGUCUGGUGGAGACUUUUUUAUUUCUGAGAAACUUCCCAUGGAGGGUCCAGCAGCCUGAAGCCAGCUUGGUAGCCAUACUACACUGAUUUAUAGAUGUACUGAAUCUGAUCCUAAUCACCUUCCAACAGGUUUUCUGUACAGGGUGGAGACACCAUUUCCUUAGUAGCUUAUGCAGAGAAAACAUAAGAAAACAGUGGCUUUUUGUAAGUCAGCAAAACCUUUUUUCUCACAGUCCACAGCAAACUAACCACACCACAGAGUGUGAUACCACAGACUAUGCAUCCUGUUGUCCAUCCCCAGCAAAAGAGGAUCACUGGUUCUUCUGUACUAUGGUGUGGUAAAUUUCAUUGCUUUCUCUCUCUUUUUUUAAAAAGGCAGUACUAAUUGCGUAUAAUGGGAAUGGAAGACCUAGCUUACAGCAGCUUUGUCCACAAUUGAGAUAUUUUAUACCUGCUUUGUUAGUUGAAUGGUUGUGGAUAGGCUGUUUGUGCCACUGUGCAAAGCAGUAUCAGUGUUAGCAGGUGUGAUAUGAAGCCAAGUCCGUCUGUAUUUGUGAAACUCUCAGAUCAUAUUGCAAUAAUUGUUUUAUGCCAGUAUAUUUAGCACAUUUAGCACACUAGCACAAACUAGUUUGCCAUUCUUCUUGGAAGAGAUUGUGUAAGUGUUAAGAUGAAAGCAAGCCACAAAUGAGAGAUAAAAAUAACUUCAACUGAAAAGCCAUCUGAGAAAGAGAAUUCAAAGGAAAGCUGGUAUUUCUGCCUAAGUUGUACUAACAAGCAUAUGCUGGGAUAAAACCCUACACAAAGCUUUAAGUAAUUCUUAGGGAAAAAAUAUAUUAGCAUUGGCUGAAGUACACUUGGAUUCACCUGAAAUCACAAAACCAAACUAUUGCUGGCGUGUUUCUUCAGGGAAUUAACAUCAUACACUGAUGCCCCAUUUUACAAGACUUCUUCAAGUCACAAUAUAUUUUCAAUCUUAUUAGUACUUGUCCUUGGAUAGUGGAGAUGUUUAAUGUCUGUUACUGUUUUUCACAAUGAUGAGGGACCAUUUCUUAUCUCCUAGUUGUUUAUAUGUUAAAUGCAUUAAACACACAGUGCUCACCACCAACACUUCCAACUUCCCUCCCUUCACUCAUUUCAAUUAAAAGACUGUCAGGUAGGUCUAAGCCCAACAAUCUUGUGGUUUUUUUCUCUGAAAUCAGGGAGUCUUUCCUGGGAUAUAGCCUAACAUUUUCUCUGCCUGAGAAAAAAGCCCAGAAAAAUUAGUGCCAAGGGCUCUGGACAUGAGCAACCUGUAUCAGAAAGCUGUGGCAAGUGAAAACACAAUUUAUCAGUUGGCUUGAGAAUCAGUGUGAAGAAGAACAGGAUGACCCAUUAGGAGGGGAGACAGGCUGACCAGCUGACACUGGAGUGCACUGGGAUGGGUGAGCGAGGAUACCUGAUUAUCUUCUCCAGUUCAAGAGAAUGAAAGGAACUGCUGACAAAGGGAGAGAAAGAAGUUGGGCAUGGAAAUCAUGUAAGGGCCCCCAGAGUUUCAGCCAGACCUCUGAGAUUUUCAGGUUCUUAAAGAAAGUUGAAGCCAGGCAAGUUUCAGAAUUUAGUGGCAUUAUGAGGUCAUUUCAGCAGAAAAUUGUAAACCACAGAAAGUUCUGUGUCUCACUUCUGGGUUAAUUUAUUAAUGCAGUUGGGGUUUGCAUUGGAUAAUGUAUUUGGGUUAUAAUGUAUUUCUAAUUGAGAAGAACAAAACCCACACAAGGUAUCAGAAAGAAGACAGCAUUUCUAUAGCUAAGAUUCUAGUGUAACGACUACAGGUAGUUAUAGUUGUGGCCACAAAUGAGCAAUAUAAUUGACUUUGGCUGGUCCAACUCUUCUCCUUUAUAUUUUUAUCUUAAUUAAGAGGAGAAGGUAAUAAGUAGUUCUUAUUUGGAUCUUUUAACACUGAUGUCAAGCCCUGGAAAAUGUUAUACCCGAUGACUAUUGCAUCCUGCCUCACUGAAUUCAGUGGUGGAUCUCAAACAUGUGAUAGAACCUGGCUUUAAAUUGUUUAUCAUAUACAGACCUGUGAAAUCUCAGGCUUUCAGGGUGAGGCACUCUUUCACCCCUGUUUUGGGUUUCCCCAAAGUGGUGCCAUGCCUCAUAAAUUUGCAGUGCCACACCCAGCCUGUCUACCAAGGCACUCAAUGCUGCCUAGCUGGCCUCAUGUGUGGAGCAAAUGUAAUGCUCACAGUUCUGUUAUUGGCAAAAAGGAAACACCUUACACGUAAACCCGGGAAUUUAUUGUUAGUAUAAUUGAACUUUUAGCACUCUAAUCCAACAAUCAUUAUUAGUUCAGAUCUAAUUACCUCAGAAAAAGAAAGAAAAGAGAAAAAAGUUAAAAAUACAUACUUCUGGGCAGGAAUAUCCUAAUAAUAACAAAAAUAAUAGUUAAAUUUGUUGUAUACACAAUUCCUAGUUUAUACCCCUUUUCUAAGCAUAAAGCUUUUACUCUUCCACUGCUCCUCCAGUCAUAAGGCUGACAGCUUCAGCCUGUUGAUCCCUCAUGAAAGGGUCCCUCUACACCUCAUCCUCUGUCCCUAUUUCUCAAGGCCUCUGCUGUCAUACUAGGACUGUUCUUCUCUGUGUUGCAGCGUCAUGUUAGAGUCAUGUCAGGAAGAAUAACUACUUUCUGCUACUAUCUGUAUAAAACCUGUGGUUGUGCCACACAAAGGUAAGCAGAACUAGGACAAGUUAAAUAUAGGCACCUGCUCAGAAGAACUGCUGUUGCAGCUAAACCAAGCAAAAAUAAAGCUUCAGGCAGGUCAGGAUGAGUUCAAACAAAGCCAGGCUGGCAAGCCUCAGUUCUGAGGCCUUGCACACGCAGUACAAAGCAUGUGGCCUGGCAAUAGCAAAACCAAUAUUGUACUACUGAAUGAAAUAACCAUAUUACUGGGUGACAGGUCUGUAGAAGACACUUAGAAAGCACAGUCUCCAUUCACAGGAUUAAGAAGUCUCUCCCUUGUUACAUCCACCUGGAACAAGAGGUAAUACUCAGUGAAUAUUUCACAAGACAAUACUAAGAAUUUACAGUAACAUAUUUCAGGAAAUUUUCACAUUUUUGAGCUGGAGAUAGUGAGGCCAGAGGAGUUCAACAACAUCUUUUUCACUCACCAACCUUCUGCGCAGGGCAGCUUUGCUCAACCCCAGCUCUUGAGAGCCAACAACCUGGCAGGACAAAGGCACAGACUCACCCUCUAGCAUGUUUACAGCAGAAAAUAAAUCAAGGUACUAGAGAAGCUCCUGAAACAGCAGAAGUAGUCCUUAGGACUGGGAAGUAGUCCUUAGGAGUGGGAAGGCUGUGCCCCAGAAGAAAGAAAAAGGGGCAAGGAAACUGAAAGCUCAAGAGCAUAUUACAGUGGGUUGAAAUUUCGGAGUAGGAGAGUGGCUAAAACAGCUCCUGGAAUUAAGAGCAGUGCCAGGUCAUAACUUCAUGUUUCCCCCUCCUGCUGAGACAUGAUGGUCUUUCACUUUACAACUUUAUCAUCUACCAUGCAACAACUGUUGUGGACAUAUUUUUUUCCAUAUUCUUUUUCAACACCCUGUCUGGGUUCCCAGCAGUUGGUGGCACUAUUUGGUUUUGUCACAAAUCUCCCAUUCUAGCCGCAGACUCUGAGGCUUCUUCAUGUGUCCCAUGCCCCUGCUGUCACAGACUACUGACAUCCAUGUCCCUAAACUGCUGAAGAACCUGAGAGACUCUCCAAAAGCGAGUCCUGGGGAUGUUUUGGCACACAGGCUGUAAUAAGCGGAGAAAUGUGUUUGUAUUCACAGUUACAGGUGCAUCUGAGCUACAUCCAGGACCAGCAGCCAUAUGACCUGUUAGUCAUAGCGCUCAGCUGCUUAUCAUCCUGAUCACAGCAGAACACUUUUUUGACCUCACAGGUUUGUGUCUCUGAAGCAGUCUCUCUGCGUAUUUAUUGUAUUUACUGUGUUGGCACAUUUCUUAUUUUGAAAGUGACUUUGUUAAUCUAUUCAGGACCCUGAACUGCCCAUUGUAGAAAUUGCACUGGAAAAAGUAGUUAUUUCUAGCACCUAAAGCACACUUUUUCCAGGUCUUUGCCAUCUAGUAGUGUGUGUGACUUGUGAGCUAACCUUGUUUUUGUGAAAUAAUCUGCAGCGUCUUUUGAAUGUCAGACAGCAUUUACCAAGUAGCCUAACCUCUUGAGAGUGUGUGGUCCCAGGGCUGGAAAGCCCCCAGUGACAGGGGUCUGCCUGGAGAUCGCUGCCAUCAGCAUCUAAUGGGCAGCAAAGAACAGCAGGUAGGAGCGUGAAUAAAUUUUUCAGCUCUUCAAAGGCAUAUAAUCAUGGUUUCCCAAAAUCACUGAGAAGAUUAGGUUAAGUAAUUCAGUGUUAUAAGAUGAAGUUCAAUGUGAUUUUUUUUUCCAGAGCUGUAUCAUCCUGAAGUAUCGAAUGAUUUCUAACAUCAUUUCAACAGGUGUUUUCUAUGGGUUGAUUCCCACAUUUUUCAUACUGCUUAAGCAUCUUAAAUGAGAGUUCUACCUGUGUUUUUCUACUUAGUUUUAAUCUAGGAGCUUGAGCAGAUGCAGCCAAAAAAAAAAAAAAAAAGUUGAAUAAAUGAAACUCCAGUAUUUAGUCAGUAAUUAACAUCCAAUUUUCUUCUCUGGAAGUGGAAGAGGCAAGGAAAGUAGACAUCAUCUACAGCUUCUGUGCAUUGUCUCCCUUAACCUUCUGUUACUCUUCCCACAUAGCCCCUUAGCUAGGUCACAUCCUCUGUGCCUGCUAGACGAUAAGAGCAAAUCCAGAUGCCAACACAGAACAAACCAGCACUUUACCCUGCUCUCACACAAGGUGCAGCUCUUCAUUCUUCCUUAUGGAAAGAGGAGGGCUUUGUGGGGCCAAAGAGAUAGAGAGCAAGAGUGUGCACCACCUCCAAAUACUGCCCCUGAAUAGGCAGAACCUCAGUUUAAGGAAAUUUUCUUCCUGUAGAAUGAUCUCCCAUGUUCACUUUUUUUAAUCUCCCAGGAGCCCUCAUCAAACCAGGUUUCUCAUGACCCUAGCUGGGGGAGAUGGGCCAAAUGUGAUGCAUCUAAAAUUCAGUGUCACAUCUUAAGAUUGGGCUGUCCCGUGCCGUAUCAGACAGAGAAAGAGCCUUCAGAAGGGAAAAGCAUCCUAAGAAUCUGCAGUCUUGAUCUGUGAGAGAUUGACUGCCUGAGCAGAGGAUGGGUUGUUUGGAUCUCCCCUUCUGGAUUCUUAAAUUCCAGUCUUUCAAACACAGCAGUGGAAGACAAGGAGGAGGAGGAGGAAGAAACUCUGCAGUCAGUCCAACAAAACCUGUGUUUUUUACUUCUUUGGUUAAGGCUUCACAUACUGUCCUGGUUUCAGCUGGGAUAGAGUUAAUUUUCUUUGUAGUAGCUAGCAUGGGGCUGUGUUUUGGAUUUUUGCUGGAAACAGUUGUGAUAAUGUGGAGAUGUUUUAGUUGCUGCUAAGUAGCACUUACACUGGUCAAGGACUUUUUCAGCUCCCCGUGCUCUGCUGGGUGUAGAAGCUGGGAGG